GACGAACGCUGGCGGCGCGCCUAACACAUGCAAGUCGAACGGAGUCAAGAGGAGCUUGCUUUUCUUGACUUAGUGGCGAACGGGUGAGUAACGCGUGAGUAACCUGCCCUGGAGUGGGGGACAACAGUUGGAAACGACUGCUAAUACCGCAUAAGCCCACGGAUCUGCAUGGAUCUGCGGGAAAAGGAUUUAUUCGCUCUAGGAUGGACUCGCGUCCAAUUAGCUAGUUGGUGAGGUAACGGCCCACCAAGGCGACGAUUGGUAGCCGGACUGAGAGGUUGAACGACCACAUUGGUACUGAGACACGGCCCAGACUCCUACGGGAGGCAGCAGUGGGGGAUAUUGCACAAUGGGGGAAACCCUGAUGCAGCGACGCCGCGUGGAGGAAGAAGGUUUUCGGAUUGUAAACUCCUGUCGUUAGGGACGAUAAUGACGGUACCUAACAAGAAAGCACCGGCUAACUACGUG
rnacentral:rRNA from 1 species